rnacentral:piRNA from 1 species
AAUGCUGUUGGAAGCUUGCAGGUCAUUGC